rnacentral:rRNA from 1 species
GAUGAACGCUGGCGGCGUGCCUAAUACAUGCAAGUCGAGCGAACAGACGCGGCGCUUGCUCCUCUGACGUUAGCGGCGGACGGAUGAGUAACACGUGGAUAACCUACCUAUAAGACUGGGCUAACUUCGGGAAACCGGAGCUAAUACCGGAUAAUAUAUUGAACCGCAUGGUUCAAUAGUGAAAGACGGUUUUGCUGUCACUUAUAGAUGGAUCCGCGCCGCAUUAGCUAGUUGGUAAGGUAACGGCUUACCAAGGCAACGAUGCGUAGCCGACCUGAGAGGGUGAUCGGCCACACUGGAACUGAGACACGGUCCAGACUCCUACGGGAGGCAGCAGUAGGGAAUUUUCCGCAAUGGGCGAAAGCUUGACGGAGCAACGCCGCGUGAGUGAUGAAGGUCUUCGGGUCGUAAAACUCUGUUAUUAGGGAAGAACAAAUGUGUAAGUAACUAUGCACGUCUUGACGGUACCUAAUCAGAAAGCCACGGCUAACUACGUG